rnacentral:rRNA from 1 species
AACGAACGCUGGCGGCAGGCUUAACACAUGCAAGUCGAGCGCCCCGCAAGGGGAGCGGCAGACGGGUGAGUAACGCGUGGGAACGUGCCCUCUGGUUCGGAACAACUCCGGGAAACUGGAGCUAAUACCGGAUAAGCCCUUCGGGGGAAAGAUUUAUCGCCAAAGGAUCGGCCCGCGUCUGAUUAGCUAGUUGGUGGGGUAAUGGCCCACCAAGGCGACGAUCAGUAGCUGGUCUGAGAGGAUGAUCAGCCACACUGGGACUGAGACACGGCCCAGACUCCUACGGGAGGCAGCAGUGGGGAAUAUUGGACAAUGGGCGCAAGCCUGAUCCAGCCAUGUCGCGUGAGUGAUGAAGGCCUUAGGGUUGUAAAGCUCUUUUGUCCGGGAAGAUAAUGACUGUACCGGAAGAAUAAGCCCCGGCUAACUUCGUGCCAGCCGCCGCCGUAAAAC